rnacentral:rRNA from 1 species
GACGAACCGUGCGAACGUUAUUCGGAAUCAUUGGGCUUAAAGGGCGCGUAGGCGGCGGUGUAAGUUGGAAGUGAAAUCCCAUCGGCUCAACCGUGGAAUUGCUCCCAGUACUGCAUCGCUCGAGGGGGAUAGGGGUCUGCGGAACUACCGGUGGAGCGGUGAAAUGUGUUGAUAUCGGUGGAAACGCCAGUGGCGAAAGCGGCAGACUGGACCCUUCCUGACGCUGAGGCGCGAAAGCUAGGGGAGCAAACGGG